GAGACUCGAGUAUGUCCUAAUAGUAAUAGAUAAUGCUUUAAACAACUCUUAUCGAAAAAUGAAAAAUUGGGGAAAAAAAAGAUCCGACUAUAUAUAAAUAGUAUAGCCACGCGGCUUUGGAUUUGGCUUUCAUUAAUAAUAAUUAUAUUAAUCAAACACUUGGGCCUUGGACCUUGAGCUCUUGGACUCUGGAGAUAUUUAAUUAAGACAUCCAAACGAAAAUAAGUAAUUUAUUUUUUCAACGUUCAUUGAACUUCAAG
rnacentral:lncRNA from 1 species